GUGGGGAAUAUUGGGCAAUGGGCGAAAGCCUGACCCAGCAACGCCGCGUGAAGGAAGAAGGUCUUCGGAUUGUAAACUUCUUUUAUGAGGGACGAAGGACGUGACGGUACCUCAUGAAUAAGCCACGGCUAACUACGUGCC
rnacentral:rRNA from 1 species